rnacentral:rRNA from 1 species
UACGAAGGGGGCGAGCGUUGUUCGGAUUUACUGGGCGUAAAGGGCGCGUAGGCGGCCCACCUUGUCGCGUGUGAAAUCCCUCGGCUUAACCGGGGAACUGCGUCUGAUACUGGAUGGCUUGAGUUCGGGAGAGGGAUGCGGAAUUCCAGGUGUAGCGGUGGAAUGCGCAGAUAUCAGGAGGAACACCAAUAGCGAAGGCAGCUCGCUGGGACGUUACUGACACUGAGGCGCGAAAGCGUGGGGAGCGAACAGG